GACGCCCAGCUCGUAUUGAAGCUCACUCUGCUGAGGGUGUUGGCUCUCCACCCUACUGGCACACGCUUGGAGAAUUGAUGCCUUGGUGGGAGAUGCUGAUCGGGGGACCUGCUAAAACCGGACGAGACAAUGGACCUCAUUGGGCGCCGCGACACUGGAGGUGUCGUCUGCUGGGUCAUCUGCCUCCUUGCCGUUGGUGCUAUGGUCCAGCCCUCCUGGGGGAUGACCGAGGGUCAAACCUGCAGGAGGGGACCUGAACGAUAUACAUCCCUUUCGGCGAACAUGGUAAACAUCACCUGUAAUCAGCCGAUAGUGAUGUGCGACCCCGACAUCCUUGAAGUGAUCAAGGGAAGCGUGGUGACAGUCACCGCUCUGGACACGUCAUGUAAACUGAAUGCCACGGUGUUCUUUCAUGAUGGGGACUGGUACUACGAUGAAAAAGCCGAAUGCGACCCUAAUCAUCAGGGAUCAAACUGGACAAUAGUGGCGGAUGAAGACUUCAUCAUCGGAGACAGCGAACCUAUUGGGCACAAUACCCGUGGGUAUCCGGUGAAAGUGAUUCCUCGAAAGCUACCGCCGACCAUAACUUUGACACACUUGUCCCCCAUUUUGGAUACCUGCACACACCUUGCACAGGCAACAAUCGAAAC